AUGCGAAGGUCCCAGCAGAGAGGGGUAAAUCUCUCUCUAACACAAAUACUAAUUCCUUCGCACAGUUAUAUGCCGAAUCGUAGGAUGCCCAAAAAGCUUUUGUUUUGGACCAUUCUGAACCCUCGGCUACAUUCAA